rnacentral:lncRNA from 1 species
CGUUUUUUUAGCUCUUGGUGGCUGGUUUGCAGGUCCGUCACAUGCCUCUCGAUAACGUCGUGAGUAAGUUCUCGUGACUGAUCAGCUGUUUUCUCCUUUUCCAGCCCGAAAAACGCUAGCAGAUUGAACAUCUCUUUCGAUCUGGUCUCCUUGAGCAUAUCAAACUCUUUCGUCACCGAGUUCAGAUUUUCUGUUUGUCUCUCGAAGUCAGAUACCAGGUUUGUGUGCAGUCCGGUACUCUUUUGGUAUUCUUCAUCGAGGGAGCUCUUUUCUUGCUUCAGCUUCUCAAUCUCCUCCUCGAGCUGUUGAAUGCGAGUCUUUCCAUCAAGAAUUUCGUUCUGUAAGCAUGUUCCAUGCUCCUCGAGCUCCUGAAGACGGGUCGUCUUUGCAGCUAGCUUGCUUUGCAGCUGUAGCUCCCUCUCUUUCAAGUCUGCAUGGCUUGUUUGGAACGUUG